rnacentral:rRNA from 1 species
UGAGGAAUAUUGCGCAAUGGGGGCAACCCUGACGCAGCAACGCCGCGUGGAGGAUGAAGGUCUUUGGAUUGUAAACUCCUUUUCUUGGGGAAGAGAACGGACGGUACCCGAGGAAUAAGUCACGGCUAACAACGUGCCAGCAGCCGCGGUAAUACGUAGGUGGCGAGCGUUAUCCGGAAUUACUGGGCGUAAAGCGCACGCAGGCGGCUCUUUAAGUUUGACGUGAAAACUCCUAGCUUAACUGGGAGAGGACGUUGAAGACUGGAAAGCUUGAGGUAAUGAGAGGGGUGCGGAAUUCCCGGUGUAGUGGUGGAAUGCGUAGAGAUCGGGAGGAACACCAGUGGCGAAAGCGGCACCCUAGCAUUGACCUGACGCUCAUGUGCGAAAGCGUGGGGAGCGAACGG